rnacentral:lncRNA from 1 species
AUCUCUCACAGCAGAAUCAAUGAAGUCAAUCCUGUGGCAAGUGUCAUUGUCAUCUGAGUACUUCAUUGCUUGGUAAAUGUUAAACCUUACCUCUUCUUCAUUCACUCUCAAUGUCAAUUGUCCCCCUUGUACAUCAAUUAAUGCCCUUCCAGUUGCUAAAAAUGGUCUGCCUAAAAUCAGUGGAAUUUCCUGAUCUUUUUCCAUAUCCAAUACCACAAAAUCAGCUGGGAAGAUGAAUUUGUCGACCUUUACCAACACGUCUUCAAUAAUUCCUCGUGGGUAGGUGAGAGACCUAUCAGCUAGUUGUAGAGUCACUGUUGUUGGCUUGACCUCCCCGAGGCCUAACUUCUUGAAUACUGAUAACGGCAUUAAAUUGAUGCUUGCUCCUAGAUCACAGAGGCCCUUUUCAAAGGAAGAGCUUCCAAUGGUGCACGGAAUAGUGAAGCUGCCCGGAUCUUUUCUCUUCUGAGGAAGUUUCUUUUGAAGAAUAGCGCUGCAUUCUUUUGUCAAUUUUAAUGUUUCAUAUUCCUCCAAUUUUCG